rnacentral:rRNA from 1 species
GAGCGGUAGAGAGAAGCUUGCUUCUCUUGAGAGCGGCGGACGGGUGAGUAAUGCCUAGGAAUCUGCCUGGUAGUGGGGGAUAACGCUCGGAAACGGACGCUAAUACCGCAUACGUCCUACGGGAGAAAGCAGGGGACCUUCGGGCCUUGCGCUAUCAGAUGAGCCUAGGUCGGAUUAGCUAGUUGGUGAGGUAAUGGCUCACCAAGGCGACGAUCCGUAACUGGUCUGAGAGGAUGAUCAGUCACACUGGAACUGAGACACGGUCCAGACUCCUACGGGAGGCAGCAGUGGGGAAUAUUGGACAAUGGGCGAAAGCCUGAUCCAGCCAUGCCGCGUGUGUGAAGAAGGUCUUCGGAUUGUAAAGCACUUUAAGUUGGGAGGAAGGGCAUUAACCUAAUACGUUGGUGUCUUGACGUUAC